rnacentral:rRNA from 1 species
AGUGAACGCUGGCGGUAGGCCUAACACAUGCAAGUCGAACGGCAGCACAGUAAGAGCUUGCUCUUACGGGUGGCGAGUGGCGGACGGGUGAGGAAUACAUCGGAAUCUACUUUUUCGUGGGGGAUAACGUAGGGAAACUUACGCUAAUACCGCAUACGACCUACGGGUGAAAGCAUGGGAUCUUCGGACCUUGCGCGAUUGAAUGAGCCGAUGUCGGAUUAGCUAGUUGGCGGGGUAAAGGCCCACCAAGGCGACGAUCCGUAGCUGGUCUGAGAGGAUGAUCAGCCACACUGGAACUGAGACACGGUCCAGACUCCUACGGGAGGCAGCAGUGGGGAAUAUUGGACAAUGGGCGCAAGCCUGAUCCAGCCAUACCGCGUGGGUGAAGAAGGCCUUCGGGUUGUAAAGCCCUUUUGUUGGGAAAGAAAAGCAGCAGGUUAAUACCCCGCUGUUCUGACGGUACCCAAAGAAUAAGCGCCGGCUAACUUCGG